rnacentral:tRNA from 1 species
GGCGCCAUGGCUAUAGUGGUAAAGCGCCUGUCUUGUAAACAGGAGAUCCUGGCUACGAUCCCCCAGUGGUGCCU